rnacentral:rRNA from 1 species
UCAGGAUGAACGCUGGCGGCGUGCUUAACACAUGCAAGUCGAACGGAGUAAUAUGAAGUUUCGGACAGAUUACUACUAGUGGCGGACGGGUGAGUAACGCGCGGGUAACCUACCUCAUACAGGGGGAUAACAGUUGGAAACGACUGCUAACACCGCAUAACAAGUUGGGACCGCAUGAUCCUAACUUCAAAUAUUUAUAGGUAUGAGAUGGGGCCCCGCGUCUGAUUAGCUAGUUGGUGGGGUAAUGGCCUACCAAGGCGACGAUCAGUAGCCGGCUUGAGAGAGUGACCGGCCACAUUGGGACUGAGACACGGCCCAAACUCCUACGGGAGGCAGCAGUGGGGAAUAUUGGACAAUGGGGGCAACCCUGAUCCAGCGACGACCCGCGUGAGUGAAGAAGUAUUUCGGUAUGUAAAGCUCUAUCUAGCAGGGAAGAUAAUGACAGUACCUGACUAAGAAGCCCCGGCUAACUACGUGCCAGCAGCAGC